rnacentral:rRNA from 1 species
UAGGGAAUCUUCCGCAAUGGACGCAAGUCUGACGGAGCAACGCCGCGUGAGUGAAGAAGGAUUUCGGUUCGUAAAACUCUGUUGUUAGAGAAGAACAGCGCAUAGAGUAACUGUUAUGCGUGUGACGGUAUCUAACCAGAAAGCCACGGCUAACUACGUGCCAGCAGCCGCGGUAAUACGUAGGUGGCAAGCGUUGUCCGGAUUUAUUGGGCGUAAAGCGAGCGCAGGCGGUCAAUUAAGUCUGAAGUUAAAGGCAGUGGCUCAACCAUUGUAGGCUUUGGAAGCUGUUUAACUUGAGUGCAGAAGGGGAGAGUGGAAUUCCAUGUGUAGCGGUGAAAUGCGUAGAUAUAGGGAGGAACACCGGUGGCGAAAGCGGCUCUCUGGUCUGUAACUGACGCUGAGGCUCGAAAGCGUGGGGAGCGAACAGG